rnacentral:ncRNA from 1 species
GCGAGCCGUAUGCAGGGAAACUCGCACGUACGGUUCUUCGGGGGCCGCCUUUCCGGGAGGAAGCGCGGCUACCCUCU